AUUGAACGCUGGCGGCAGGCCUAACACAUGCAAGUCGAACGAGUGGCGGACGGGUGAGUAAUGUCUGGGAAACUGCCCGAUGGAGGGGGCUAACUACUGGAAACGGUAGCUAAUACCGCAUACCAGCGGAUGUGCCCAGAUGGGAUUAGCUUGUAGGUGAGGUAACGGCUCAGCUAGGCGACGAUCCCUCGCGGGUCUGAGAGGAUGACCAGCCACACUGGAACGGGGACACGGGGCAGCCUCCGACGGGAGGAAGCAGUGGGGAAUAUUGCACAAUGGGCGCAAGCCGGAUGCAGCCAUGCCGCGUGUAUGAAGAAGGCCUUCGGGUUGUAAAGUACUUUCAGCGGGGAGGCGUUACCCGAAGAAGAAGCAACGGCUAAAUCCGUGCCAGCAGCCGCGGUAAUAC
rnacentral:rRNA from 1 species